CCCAGACUCCUACGGGAGGCAGCAGUGGGGAAUAUUGCACAAUGGGGGAAACCCUGAUGCAGCGACGCCGCGUGAGUGAAGAAGUAUUUCGGUAUGUAAAGCUCUAUCAGCAGGGAAGAAAAUGACGGUACCUGACUAAGAAGCCCCGGCUAACUACGUGCCAGCAGCCGCGGUAAUACGUAGGGGGCAAGCGUUAUCCGGAUUUACUGGGUGUAAAGGGAGCGUAGACGGCAGCGCAAGUCUGAAGUGAAAUCCCGUGGCUUAACCAUGGAACUGCUUUGGAAACUGUGCAGCUGGAGUGCAGGAGAGGUAAGCGGAAUUCCUAGUGUAGCGGUGAAAUGCGUAGAUAUUAGGAGGAACACCAGUGGCGAAGGCGGCUUGCUGGACGAUGACUGACGUUGAGGCUCGAAAGCGUGGGGAGCAAACAGGAUUAGAUACCCUGGUA
rnacentral:rRNA from 1 species